UAAGACUUGUAGGAAACUAGCCUACAUCUUCUGAAUGCAACCCAGACGCUUUUACUAAGCUAAAAUCUCC
rnacentral:tRNA from 1 species